rnacentral:rRNA from 1 species
AUUCAACGCUGGCGGCAUGCCUUACACAUGCAAGUCGAACGGUAACGGGCCUUCGGGUGCCGACGAGUGGCGAACGGGUGAGUAAUACAUCGGAACGUGCCCGAUCGUGGGGGAUAACGAGGCGAAAGCUUUGCUAAUACCGCAUACGAUCUACGGAUGAAAGCAGGGGACCGCAAGGCCUUGCGCGGACGGAGCGGCCGAUGGCAGAUUAGGUAGUUGGUGGGAUAAAAGCUUACCAAGCCGACGAUCUGUAGCUGGUCUGAGAGGAUGAUCAGCCACACUGGGACUGAGACACGGCCCAGACUCCUACGGGAGGCAGCAGUGGGGAAUUUUGGACGAUGGGCGCAAGCCUGAUCCAGCCAUGCCGCGUGCAGGAUGAAGGCCUUCGGGUUGUAAACUGCUUUUGUACGGAACGAAAAGCCUUCUUUUAAUACAGGAGGGUCAUGACGGUACCGUAAGAAUAAGCACCGGCUAACUACGUG